CCUACGGGAGGCAGCAGUGGGGAAUAUUGCACAAUGGGGGAAACCCUGAUGCAGCAACGCCGCGUGAGUGAAGACGUAUCUCGGUAUGUAAAGCCCUAUCAGCAGGGAAGAAAAUGCCGGUACCUGACUACGAAGCCCCGGCUAACUACGUGCCAGCAGCCGCGGUCAUCAGUAGGGGGCAAGCGUUAUCCGGAUUUACUGGGUGUAAAGGGGGCGUAGACGGUGUGGCAAGUCUCAAGUGAAAGCCCGGGGGUCAACCCCGGGACUGCUUUGGAAACUGUCAUGCUGGAGUGCUGGAGAGGUAAGCGGAAUGCCUAGUGUAGCGGUGAAAUGCGUAGAUAUUAGGAAGAACACCAGUGGCGAAGGCGGCUUACUGGACAGUAACUGACGUUGAGGCUCGAAAGCGUGGGGAGCAAACAGGAUUAGAUACCCCUGUAGUC
rnacentral:rRNA from 1 species